GUUGUUGUGAGGGAGGAGCCAGAGCCUCUACAAGGGCAUACUGAUCGACUUUGGUGUAUAGCAGUCGUAGUUCAACCUUCGUCGCUCCAUUGAUUAUUGACGACUAGGUGGUGCGACGGAGGUUGAUCACGUUUUUUUUUGGUUUUGUUUUAUUUUUUCCUUUUCUUCGUGCCCCCUGCUGGACUUGGUGGGUGGCGGUGACUCUUGCUCCCUGGGGUGGAGCUCAAAGAAAAGGAGCCCUUGGGUGUCCACGUGGGUGUAACUAUACUGGAUGUGCCGUGCUGAGAGGUGUUAGAAAUGUUGAACAACGCUUGCAGUCGGGAUUGUUGUCGGAAUUCAAUUGGGUGUCGACUAGUGCGACGAGAGAGGUGGAUGCUCAAAGAUGUAUCAGAUGCAAUCGCUUCCUUAGACAAGCGCCUUGUGCGGGACACAUCGAAGGUUACAUGUUCAUAGUCUGUGAAGAUUGAAGUUUUAUCGGCAACGAAACUAAGGUCAUCGGUUCGAAGUUGUAUUGCAGAUUUGCAAGGACUUUUCCUCCGGUGCUUUACAUUAGUUGGCUAGUUGUUAGUGUUCAGCGUCAGCCGCUCAGUGAAGUUCCGAGAGUGAGCAAGAGUGGAGGCGCCCUCCAUCAUUUGGGCAAGCUCAUCAUCGAUUCCUUCGAAUUUAUCAUCAGAACCACGAACUUGUUGUUCUUUACAACCCUAGUUGCUGUGAAGAGAAGAGGACACGAGGAUCUUAACCAAAAGGUUGAAAUGCACCGAGGACACAUCAUUAAGACCAGUACCACCAGAUCGAUGGAAGAGAGAGGACAAAGGCAGCACACAGGGAGGUCUUUUUCAAAUCCAACCCUUCAACAGACCGGAUUCCAAAGGCCAAGUGUAUCACAAGAAGUAGGCAAGACUAUCAAUUUGUUGUCAUUAAGAAUUUAGAUUGAAUAAAAAAAUCAAUUGUAUUAUUUAAAUCACUUGGAUAAAAUUAGGUCUUGUGCG